CAAGGUUCACAAGAGGGGGCGAAACUUAGAGACUAAGAGAGAGUGCAAGUGCAGAAGUAGAAUUUUGAGAGGGGAAAAGGGAAAGGAGAGGGAGAUAAGUACACAUAAGGGGUUCAAGGGGGAUAGGAAAUUUGAAAGAGCAAGGACAGGCUGUGGGCAUGCCCAGCAAUGGAGAAUUCUAAAAUACCCAUAAGCCUGUUAGAACACACUAUUAGAGGCUAGGAUCCCAAGGGAUCAUGUUUAAUUCAUGGAAU
rnacentral:lncRNA from 1 species